rnacentral:tRNA from 1 species
GCCGGCGUAGCUCAAUUGGCAGAGCAGCUGUUUUGUAAACAGCAGGUUACAGGUUCGAUUCCUGCCGCCGGCUCCA